rnacentral:rRNA from 1 species
GACAAACGCUGGCGGCAUGCCUAACACAUGCAAGUCGAACGGACAGAACAGGGAAGCUUUUCGGAGUGGAACUGGAAAGUUAGUGGCGGAUGGGUGAGUAACGCGUGGACAACCUACCUUGUAAAGGGGAAUAACCUCGAGAAAUCGAAGCUAAUACCCCAUAAUAACCUUGCUUCGCAUGAAGUAAGGAGGAAAGGCGGCCUUAGCGCUGUCGAUACAAGAUGGGUCCGCGUCUGAUUAGCUAGUUGGUGAGGUAAAGGCUCACCAAGGCGACGAUCAGUAGCCGGCCUGAGAGGGUGAACGGCCACAUUGGGACUGAGACACGGCCCAAACUCCUACGGGAGGCAGCAGUGGGGAAUCUUCCGCAAUGGGCGAAAGCCUGACGGAGCAAUGCCGCAUGAGUGAAGAAGGCCUUCGGGUUGUAAAACUCUGUCCUUAUCGAAGAGAGAGUGUUGUAGUAACUGACAAUACUAGGACGGUAGAUGAGGAGGAAGCCCCGGCUAACUAUGUG